rnacentral:rRNA from 1 species
UGUCUCCUAAAUAGAGACUAGUAUGAAUGGCUAAAUGAGGAUAAACCUGUCUCCUUUGAUUUAUCAGUAAAACUGAUCUUCCAGUACAAAAGCUGGAAUACAAAUAUAAGACGAGAAGACCCUAUGGAGCUUUAAAUUUUAAUCAAAGUUUUACUUUUUAAACAACUUAUGAAAACUAAUUUUAAGUUGGGGCGACUUCGGAAAAAAAACAAACUUCCAAGCAAAAAGACAAAUAACCUUAAUUAAGGCCCACAAACCAAAAGAAAUAUUGACCCAAUACCAUUGAUCAACGAACCAAGUUACCCUAGGGAUAACAGCGCUAUCUUCUUCAAGAGUCCAUAUCGACAAGAAGGUUUACGACCUCGAUGUUGGAUCAGGACACCCAAAUGGUGCAGCCGCUAUUCAAGGUUCGUUUGUUCAACGAUUNNNNNU